GGAGGGUGCGAGCGUUAAUCGGAUUUACUGGGCGUAAAGGGCGCGUAGGUGGUUAUCUAAGUUAGAUGUGAAAUAUCGAGGCUUAACCUUGAGGAGUGAUUUAAAACUGGGUAACUAGAGUUCAGUAGAGGGGAGUGGAAUUUCUGGUGUAGCGGUGAAAUGCGUAGAUAUCAGAAGGAACACCGGUGGCGAAGGCGACUUCCUGGACUGAGACUGACACUGAGGCGCGAAAGCGUGGGGAGCGAACAGGAUUAGAUACCCUGGUAGUCCACGCUGUAAACGAUGAAUACUAGCCCGUUUGUGACGUAUGUUGUGAGUGGCGCAGCUAACGCAUUAAGUAUUCCGCCUGGGGAUACGGCCGCAAGGCUA
rnacentral:rRNA from 1 species